rnacentral:lncRNA from 1 species
GGAGAGGUAGUGCACCAUUAUUUGGUAGAUAGAGGAGGCUUCUUAUAAUAAGUUGGGUUCAUUCGCCAUAGAUGAAGGAGCGAUACACAAAAUCAGAAGAGGCCAGAAUCCUUAAUUUAGAGGACAAUCUCAGGGAGAGUUAGUGCACCAUUAUUUGGUAGAUAGAGGAGGCUUCUUAUAAUAAGUUGGGUUCGUAGUUGCGUGCAAUGGAUAAGUUAUUUUAC